UGCUGGACUAUUCAAACAUGUAGUUGAAGCGUUAGAUAAGUUAAUUCUUCUCUAAGAGUUCUGGUACAUGGCCUGUCUGUCCUGUUAAUAACAUCAGGAGUCUCUCUGUCUCUCAGUGCCUUAAACCCAGGAGCUUCCUCCCUCAUCAGUUUAGUGUCAGAGGCCCUGCAGCGUGUUUUGAGCGUUGCUGAAUUAUUUCUCUGCGAUUAUCUUCCUCAGCAAUUCAGGAGAUUUUCCCGCCGUUUCUGAGUCACCUGAUGCCUUUUCUCCGCUCAGGGGCACAGACUUCAGUUAUAGCGAUUCAGGAACUGCUGGAGCCAGCUGUUAAAUACUCUUUAAAUAUUCUUCAGCAGCCGACGGGCCGGCGUGCUCUUCAUCUCUACUCUGCUCCUCCACCACAGCACCUCCUUCGGACACAAGCGUCUUGAGCUGUCUCCGUUUUUGUGAUGAACAUGAGGAGUCACUAACUGAAAGAAAACCUGUGAAUGAAUGAAACUGAAGAUAAGCGGGGGAACUCUGUAUUUUACUUUCUGGAAACUGCAGAGAAAUCCAGAGUUUACAAAAGUACAACAGCAAACAAUGUGAGUAACGUUGGUGUUUUAAAACAAAAGCUGCGAGAGAGGCUUGCAAAUAUCUUUGAGGUUGAAGGUUCGACUCUGUAAAUGAGUUUCUAUGGAAACCAGGUCUCUUGCUCAGGUCGGAGACUCACUUUGAGUUGAAGAUUCCUGAACAGACGAGGUUCUGCAGCAGAACAGUGAACUCGGGUUCAUUCAGAGUUUGAAUGAGGGCUGUGUGUGUGUGUGCGCGCGCAUUUGUGUGUGAGUGUGUAGUUGUGUGGUUGUGUGUCUAACCUCUGUACAGCUCAGAUCAGUGUGUCUAUCUUUGCGGGAUGGGGAGGUAAACGAUCACCCAGGGACCUUUGAGCAACAGCAGAAGCGUGCAGUUCACGUGUCAUCCUGCCCCCCCGCCUGCUCUGAGCGGCGGGGCUCUGCUGAGACGGCAGUGACCUCGACUGCCUGAUGGAGGACGUCCAAGUGGACAUGGAGAGUCAGACUCUGCUCUCUGCUGUGAUUGGCUCUCUGAUGGUGGGCUGUGUUUACCUGCAGGAGCUCACCUGUCCUUCCAGCCUCACAGCCAGCGGCUCAUCUGACCCUUUAAGGUUUCUGGGCUGCUGACGGUUCCUGCUUACGGAUAAAUUCACUUAAUGGGAUCGAUCUUCGUCUUCACAGCCUGACCCAGAUUUCCCAACAACACUUUAUCUGCUGGAGACGCAAAACUCCCAUAAAUCUGAGUUUUUGUCUGCAGGAAGUUCACUGCAUUUUAGAGAAAGGUUCCUGCCUGGGAUGGCAGCUCAGCUCAGACCCUGCAGGUUCUGACCCUGCAGGUUCAGACCCUGCAGGUUCAGCAUGAAUGAUCCGUGUAGAUCAAUGUCUCUGGGAAGAAGAAAUGUUUCCACCGUCUCCCUACUUUCCUUCUGUUCUGGAAACCUUUACUCCAUUUUUAUCCUUUGCAUAAUUUCCAUAAAUAAAAAGAACAUGUGCACAUCUCUCUGGUUGGAACUUGAAGAAAGCUCUCCAGGUUCCGUUUUUGCUUUUCGCAGCGAUGUCGUCUGAUCAGAACUGUUCUUGGACCGUCAGCCUUUUGGUGCUCUGAGGUUGAACCUGCGGCUCUCGAACAGCCGUCAGCUCUGCUGCUGUUGCGAAAGCGUCUGGCUGUGGCCUGAGCGUCCGGGCUGCGGCGUUGCUCAAUCCUGCCUCCCUUCAUCGCGGCUGCUGCUGCUGCUCUGGAAACGCGAGCCGACAUCUGCGGAGUGUCAGCUCCGCCUGGCAGUGUCUCCACGCAUGACGCCGUGUGACCUCUGUCACCACUAAGACGGUGCCGUGGCUGCAGCAGAGGCCUCCGUGCGCGCCGGCGCGUCCUUCAGGAGGCCGUCACGCGUCGGCAGGUUCAUCAGCGGACUCGCAUUCAGCUGAAACCAGGACCUGGUGUUCUGACGCGGGCUGGUCGUCCUCAGUUAGCAGCAGAUAAUGGGGAACACUCACCACAUGUCAGUCAGGGAGACGGAUCGCACCAAUUAAACAUAACAUGUUACAUGUGACUGAGUUUAACUUGUUAUGGGGAGACAGUAAAUCUGAAGCUGUCGGGGGAAUUGCCGGCACGCCACGACUCCUGAGGCUCGUCAAUCAUCAGACCGACGAGCAGAUGUCAGUGGGGGAGUGGAACCAUCCACAGUGACUCCGGCCGUCAGGUCUGCUCUGUCUGAAAAUUCAAACACACCCCUGUUUGUGCUCUGGAAACUUCCAGAAUGAAGCCCACGUGAAGAAGACUGGAACCAGGUGAGGUCACCAGGUGACUACCAGGACUCGCUCAAUCUGGAUUUUUAUUUCUAAAUGUCCUCCAUCAGGAUGGAAAUGCUACAUGAUGUUAAAAAAACAGAAACACACUUUUCAUCAGAGCGGGUUGUUCACCUUUCAGCAGAUCCCUUCAGGUGUCGCCACAGCCAAUCAGCUGAUCCACCUGUGAGGAUCCGGUUUCAAUGAUCCUCACAGGUGGUUUGACAGAGUUUGCGUCAGGGUUGUGUCAAGAAGGACUGUAUUUGAUCUGGGCUGGGGACCCACAAACCCACAAGGGGGGCCAAAGCAUGAAGGGUGUGGCUAAAGAACCCAGACUGGAUGAAGCUCAUGGCACCCCCUGGGAAUCAAACCCUGAUUCCCCAUGCACAUGUCCAUGGUCCUGCUACCAAACCCAUCCCAGAAGGGAAUAAAUUGAAAAAGUCUCCAUCCUUCCUUCCUUCCUUCCUUCCUUUCAGGGUUGCUGGAGCCUAUCCCAGGCGGGGUUCCCCUUGAACUGUCUGUUGCAGAACUCUGCAGUCACAAUUAGACAAUUUAGAGACGCAUAGAGCCGCUGAUCCAGAGGGAACCCACUCAUGAAUCUAGCUGGGAUUUGAACCAGGACCUGGUCACUGUGAGGUGAGAGUGCUAACCACUACACCACCGUAGAUGUGGAACAGGGGUUUGACCGUCACUGUUUUGGAGAGGAGCCCUUUGAAGUGGAGGAGAACCGUGAAUCCUGCCAAACGGGGGCUUUGGCAGCGGUGGGGGCCGUCAUCACUGCUCGCAGGAUUUGGUGCUGAAGCUUCCUGUCAGCAGACGGUUGAAGCACAGAUGUUGUUGAGAAAGCGGCGUUGGAUCUGUUGCUCUGUCGGCCUCCGUCCCAUCAGCUCCAUCAGAAACCGGAUCUCCAUCUGCUCAUUAGCUGCACGGGGGCCGCUCUUUGCAUCAGCUGCUUUUGAAAGCGCUCCUCUGGGGAGAUGCGGAAACGCAGCGCGGAGCGUGAGGGGGAGGAGGAGGAGGAAGAGGAGGGCCGCUUGAGCAACAGCAGCGGGACGACCGGGCCAACCAAGGCAAUGGCCACCCCUCACCCAGAGGCUGCGCUCUCUGAUUGGCUGGGAGUGUGGGGAAGAGAUGGCAGCGAAGAGAGCGGCCCCCUCAGAGCGGCCUGCUGCCGAGACUCUGAGCAACGUGUGCUGAUGGGGUCGAGGGGAGGGUUCAAAUCCCAGCAGGGUUCAGCACGCGCAGCAUGACAACGACCGUCUUACUGUACUCACUGAACUCGCUGUACUGACAGUACUCACUGUACUCAAUAUACUAACAGUACUCACUGUACUCACUGAACUCACUGUACUGACAGUACUCACUGUACUGACAGUACUCACUGUACUCGCUGUACUUACAGUACUCGCUGUACGUUCACUAAUCAAACCAAAGCAGGAGGAGGAGAAACCAUUUCCCUCAGAAACAGGUGAGUCUGGUUCCACCAGCCGGUGUUCAAACACCACAUCUAAGCACCCGGUUGAUUAACCUGAAGGAAAGCAGGGUUGACCCGCGCUGGUGAAAAUGGAACGUACCAUUAUCGUGCGCGUGGUAAGUGUAUCGUGUAGGAAUAAUGGGAGUUGGACAUCCUUAUGACGUACAGGUGAUGCUGUCGUAGCGAGUCUUUACUCCACCCUCUUUUUGUUGGUAAGGUGAGAUCACUGAAACCUUACUAACCGUGCACGGGGUGUGCACGUGAUCCGCUAGUGCUGGUAAGACGCUUGUAGGACGUCCACACAAACUACACUCUGAUUGUCUCGUUUCCAUCAGUCAGUCUGCAGCGAGAAGCGUGCACGUAUCACGUGAACAGAACUAGAGUCUCCUUGUUCAGUCUGCAGGAUUGGGGGGGUUGAAAAGAUAAAAACCUGUAUGACACGCCUGCAUCUCCCCCCUCCCGUGUUGUAGACCCGUAGACCCGUCGCUACAGCAUGAAUGUAGAAAACAUGAACAUUUCCACUGAGCGUCUCCCACCUUCAGAUUCCUGCAGGUCACCUGGUUGCCCCGUACAGGUGUGACCAUCGUUCACCCGCAGAUGGCCCGGGUCCACCUGUGAGGACGGCUGGACUGAGGCUUCAUGCUCACGUGUGACAGAAAAACUACAGAUGUUGCUGCUAGACUUUAGUAAAUUCUAACAGUUUUCUUUAUAUUCUUCUUUUCCUGUAAUAAAAAAACAGUUUGACAGAAAUGAUCUUAAUCCAGAUUAGAUUAUUAACAACUAUUAACCAAAAAUAUCCACCAAACAGCAAAACUAAUUGAAGAAUAACACACAUUGUCAGUCCAGAACGUCUGAGCGACUUUCAGUUCAUCCGAACGUUCAACCCUUGUCCUUGAUGGUAAACUGCAGCCUUUCCAGCAGGUGGGGAUUUCCCUCCAUCCGGUUCUGUGUGAACGUUCUGGAUCACAUCUUCCAGCGUUCAGGUGGAGCCCCCACUCCUGUCAGAGGAAGCCCCGACCCGCUCCCGUCAGGUGAGUACCCCCACUCCCAUUAGGUGAGGCCCCCAUUCUCAUCAGGUGAGGCCCCCGCUCCCAUUAGGUGAGGCCCCCGUUCUCAUCAGGUGAGGCCCCCGCUCCCAUUAGGUGAGGCCCCCGCUCCCGUUAGGUGAGGCCCCCGUUCUCAUCAGGUGAGGCCCCCGCUCCCAUCAAGUGAGACCCCCGCUCCCAUUAGGUGAGGCCCCCGUUCUCAUCAGGUGAGGCCCCCGCUCCCAUCAGGUGAGACCCCCGCUCCCAUUAGGUGAGGCCCCCGUUCUCAUCAGGUGAGGCCCCCGCUCCCAUCAGGUGAGACCCCCGCUCCCAUUAGGUGAGGCCCCCGUUCUCAUCAGGUGAGGCCCUCGCUCCCAUCAGGUGAGGCCCCCGCUCCCAUUAGGUGAGACCCCCGUUCUCAUCAGGUGAGGCCCCCGCUCCCAUUAGGUGAGGCCCCCGUUCUCAUCAGGUGAGGCCCCCGCUCCCAUUAGGUGAGGCCCCCGCUCCCAUCAGGUGAGGCCCCCGCUCCCAUUAGGUGAGGCCCCCGUUCACAUCAGGUGAGGCCCUCGCUCCCAUUAGGUGAGGCCCCCGCUCCCAUUAGGUGAGGCCCCCGUUCUCAUCAGGUGAGGCCCUCGCUCCCAUCAGGUGAGGCCCCCGCUCCCAUUAGGUGAGGCCCCCGUUCUCAUCAGGUGAGGCCCCCGUUCUCAUUAGGUGAGGCCCCCGCUCCCAUCAGGUGAGGCCCCCGCUCCCAUUAGGUGAGGCCCCCGUUCUCAUCAGGUGAGGCCCUCGCUCCCAUCAGGUGAGACCCCCGCUCCCAUCAGGUGAAUGCGGCGUUCUCUUCCACAUGCUUAAUACUGACUGGCAGAUGUUCCCUCUUUUGUUGCUGUUUUUGGAGCAAACAUGAUUUUCCCAUCAUGCAACAGCUCUGAUGCUCUGUAAUUUUUUUUCCAUCCUUCUGUCCUUCCAGAGAAGGAAACUGACGGUUCCACUGUUCUGCCUGAUGUUCCUCCUCUGGUUCUUCAGCUAACUUUCCGGUUUUGGACCCGACAUGACGACAGGCUGGACUGUGACUCCUGAAGAUGCAGAUCUUCUUUCAUUCAGCAGAAAGGCUUCAGUGAAGCGCUGGCUGAACAUCUUCAGCUCCUGAUGAAGACCUCACAGCGCAGGUGAAGCAGGAGGACCUGGAGCUCCAUCUAGAAGAUCCGAGACUGUUUCUGCAACGGUUCCGUGACCGGCUGGACCGGACCAGGUGAAACCCGCAGCCGCACACCAUCGCGCUGCCCGCUCUGCUGUGGUUUCCAUGGUAACGGGAUACCACAUCAUGAUGCUGCAGAUGAUCUGCGUGGUUCAAACAUGCUUCCUAGUCCGGUCUGGUCCAGUUGUCUCUUUGUGAAGUGUCUGGUCCAAAGGACGAAGACCCUCCAGAGUUCAGCGUCUGAUGCCAAGAACAACAGUGAAGCUGUCACCGAACCCCAGCCGCUGGGCAAACAUCAGGAGAUGGGGUCAUAAACCAAACAGUCCAUGAAUGCAACACUCCAACCAUGAACAUCAGCGUUCUACAGAGCUGGAGCUUUUAUUUUGGCGGGUCCCAUCAGCAAAAAAGUUUUUUUUCAUGAAUUUGCUUAGUUUUAGCAGAAGCUUGUGUUUGAUUUACAGGCGAGGAACAUGAGGAGAACAUGCAGGUUCUCGUCUCAGGUGGAUAUGAACCAGCAGACAGAAGAGCUUCAGGAAAUGGUCCUCAGAGAAAAGGAUCUUCUAGACAUCACCCAGAACCAGGAGGACUUGAGGAGCAGAACCAGCAAAGUGUUGGAUCCAGCAGAGGAGGAGCCACUUUAUCAUGAUGAAGACUGUACGAUGAAGACAGUAUGAAUGACUGAGUGAACCACAGGAAGUGAGUGCAGAGGUCAGGACAUGUGACCCUGUUGGCUGACGGAGAGGCAGACAGGACCAUGUGCAGGGCUUGAUUCUGCAGGCGGGUGGAUGAUCUCAGGAAUGAAGGGGAGAGGUGACGAGUGUCUGAGCGGAGCCCCCGCCUUCUGUUCCUGAACUUCAUGGAAACCGGAAAGCUCCAGUUGUUGCAGUUCCUCCAGAAACCUCUGGAGGCAGGUUCUGAUUUCUGAAGCUUUGUGGUGUUUGUGGAUUUUUGAUUAUUCCAGAAAACUCUGGAAGGUCCACCAGUUUCCUGUCUUCUUGGGGGUGUGGUUUUCUGAUUGACAGGUUGACAACUAGGUGAAUCCAACAAACGAAACGGUCAAACUUUAGUUUGACCCGCCCAGCUGCAGUUUCAGGAACAUUGUUGAGAGGAGGGCGGGGCAAACGGUACUUCCUGUGUCCGACCCUCUUCGGGGUUCAAUUUUUGUUCUUCAGAAUCCAGUCCAGUGAUUAUUCUCCUGAAGGAGAAAGCUAAAAGAUCGGGUCUGAUCUUACUGGUGUUGUAGAGGACAGAGUUGCAUGCUGGGAAGUGGAGGAGAUGCUCUCUGUACAGUUGAAGUAUUUUUCAAUAAUGACCCCUAACUUACAGAACAUGUGAUUCUGCAGGACUGACGACGACUCUGUCUGAUGGAAAAGACAGGAAGAACAGAGUGUCAUCAGCAUAGAAUUGAUGAGAGAACCUGAAUGAUGCAGCACAAACGGGGCUACAGACCAGCAACAAAAGAAGGUUCUGAACAGAACCCUGAGGAACACCAGAUGAGCAGCAGUGGGGGGGUUGGAUUCCUCAACCUGCUAUGAAACCUUUACAGUUACUUUAAAGUGUCUCAUUCACUUUAAAUUGGGAAAACCUUCUGGAGAUGUUAGAAAGGGGUGGAGUCUCCUCCCUUAGUGAGAAAAACUUUGGCGGGUCAUGAGGUGUUCCAGUUCUUGUUUUUGUGAAGAUGGGUGGAUCUUAUCACCUGGGAGCCGGUUUAGCUCGUGCUGGUUUGCGGCGCCUUCCGUCCGUGAAACCAGGGUUCGACUCCGGGCUGCUCCCUGUU